UACGUAGGUGGCGAGCGUUGUCCGGAUUUAUUGGGUUUAAAGGGUGCGUAGGCGGUCCUAUAAGUCAGUGGUGAAAUAUCGCAGCUCAACUGUGAGGGUGCCAUUGAUACUGUAGGACUUGAGUGAAUUUGAGGUAGGCGGAAUUGACGGUGUAGCGGUGAAAUACUUAGAUAUCGUCAAGAACACCGAUAGUGAAGACAGCUUACCAAGCUUCAACUGACGCUGAGGCACGAAAGUGUGGGGAUCAAACAGG
rnacentral:rRNA from 1 species